GGAUGUGAGGCGAUCUGGCUGCGACAUCCGUCACCCCCUUGAUCACCAGGGUUGAUUGGGCUGAUCUGGGUGGGUAGGUGGGUGUCCCCUUCCUCCCUCACUGCUCCAUGUGCGUCCUUCCCAAAGCUGCAUGCUCGGUGGAAGAGGACGGCCUUCCCUGCUAGAGGAGAACUGUUCUUAGGUCAAUAGUGUGUGAGUAGCUAUGCCUCCCUGCUAGAAUCUCCAAACAAGCCUUCAAGGUCCAUUUAAUCUUCCUUAUAACCCUGACUUAGGUAUUAUUGUUACCUCUGUUUUAUAGAUGAAGAUACUGAGGAAUAGAGGGACUAAAAAACUUACCCAGCAUCACUCA
rnacentral:snRNA from 1 species